CACACAACGUGCCCUCAAGCUAACCUUACUGCCGUGACGUGCCCUGCUGCUGCGGAUAACCACUGCGACUCCCGAUUCCAGAAAAAGUAAACAACUGGUCAGAGAUGCCUCGUAAGGAGAGGAGGUUAAAACAAAAACAAAAGGAGCUGUGUGAGGCUGCAAAAGGCAGUGGAUCACUCACCAGCUGGAUGACAAAGAGCACAAAAGUGUCUGCACUAUCAGAUUAAUACAGCCCAACUCCAGCAACACAGAAGCACCAACCCCCUCAACAGAAGCUGUUCCAUGAGGUAAAACACAGACUCAUUUCGCUUUGCACUGACCUCAAACAUAUAUGUGAGUAUGUGUGAUAGGGUGUAUUUUGAUUCUACGUUCCAUUAUUUAUAGUAUGGGUUGGUACAUUUCAACCAGUUGUACAGCAAGGUAUGUUUCUGUAUAAUGUUUUAAAUCCGUGCCCCAUGUGC